GAUAAUAAUUAAAUAUAUUUUAACGCAAACAUUAUUCAACAUGGACUUUUUGGUAUUUUUGAAAAUAUAAGGCCUAAAUUUAGAGAAACUCUAGCUUAAACUAAAGGGACUAAAAAAGUAUUUACCCAAAAAUUCACUAUGAUGAUGUCAAAGAAUGAUGUACUAGCUAGUCCAAUCUAACUUGUAACAACACACAAGAGAAAUCAAAUAUCAAAAUAAAUUUAAUAUAUAGCUAAAAUAUUUGUGAAAGUAAAGUUCUAUUUCUUCAAAUUCUUAAUUAGCCAUAUAGCUAGAGUGAUAUUAUUUAUGAAGCUCAAAUAGGCAAGUAUAUAUAUGUAUAUGUGCGCGUGUGUGUGUGUGUGUGUCUAUAUAAUGAAUGCUCAACAACGAGUACAAAUAAAGACACCAAUCUUGCAAUGAAACUCCAAUUAAACAGCAUUAUAUUAAGCAUCACAGGCAUAUAUACCAAGAGAUGGACCCAUCUCGCAAAGAUGUCUCGUAAAUUUUUAUUAUGUCGCUCCAUCAAUUCUUCUUUUCAGUGUCUUAUAUUUUCAACUCACAAAUUUGUGUAAAGAGACCAUAUUAUUGACCAUGAAAAUUAGAAUAAAUUUUUUUUCACCUUUAUCUUGCUAAAAAUGGAAAUUUUUGGUAUCCCAAUAUAUUCUGCAUCAGACAAAGAGACCAUAUUGUAUAAAGAACCUGUGCAGAAAUUUUGAUGUAGAGCAUAUUGAUCUUUUGUGGCUUUCACUUGAGACCUGUUCUAAUAUAAUGGUCAAAUAUUAAUUAUUAUCGGUCCAGUUGAGGUUCAGUGGUUAAUUGAAAUAUCACAAGCGUACUGUAGCGGCGCGCUUAGUUGAUUCAAUUGAAAAUAACACAUUCCAUUAAUUAAUUUUUGGGCCCCACGUGAUCGGAUUCUCGUUUGGAAGCAGUAAAUCAUGGCGAUCCUGAAAAUCUUGUACAUAAAAUUGUCAUCAUAUUAUGUCAUGCAGGCACUGUCAUUUCAUUUCCUUGUCUUUCAUAUGCAUGCACAUGCACUCAAUCAAAAACCUUCAUUUUUCCAAGAAGAAUUUAAGGGUAUCACCAACCCAGCCUGAUUAAUAAUCUAUAAGCCAAGUCAAGUAAAGUCCAAAUUGUAAAACUUUUCAAAAAGAAAAAAUAUCGCCGACAAGCAACUCAGGCAGCGAUUAUAUUUUAAAUUGGAGAACAUGUGCCUCUCAAUUUGAGUGGAGACUUUUAGUCUGGGUUGUGGUACGAGUUUAAAGGUGUCUCUUACAGUUGGGACCCUCCCCAGGAUACAUUAUAGUCAAAACAAAAAAAUAUAUUUUAAAUUGGAGUGGGAAUCUUAGAAUUAGGAGUGUACAGUGGAAGUGAGAGUAGAUUAUUUAUUUAUAUUAUAAUGGAAGCAUGAAAUAGAGAUUAUAAUCCAAUUUAUGUGUUAACUUUGUCUUAAAUUGA
rnacentral:lncRNA from 1 species